UCUUCCGCAAUGGGCGCAAGCCUGACGGAGCAACGCCGCGUGAAUGAAGAAGGUCUUCGGAUCGUAAAGUUCUGUUCUUAGGGAAGAAGUCUUAGGUUGUGAAUAAUGACGUAAGGUGACGGUACCUAUGGAGAACGCUCCGGCUAACUACGUGCCAGCAGCCGCGGUAAAACGUAGGGAGCGAGCGUUGUCCGGAAUUACUGGGCGUAAAGGGCGCGUAGGCGGGAACUUAAGUUAGAUGUGAAAACUCCGGGCUCAACCUGGAGACUGCAUUUAAAACUGGGUUUCUUGAGGGCAGGAGAGGAAAGUGGAAUUCCUAGUGUAGCGGUGAAAUGCGUAGAUAUUAGGAGGAACACCAGUGGCGAAGGCGACUUUCUGGACUGUACCUGACGCUGAGGCGCGAAAGCAUGGGGAGCGAACAGGA
rnacentral:rRNA from 1 species